GUGAGAUGCAAUUAGCGUUUGGAUAUGCAAUUUUAUGCUGAUUUCAUCUCAUAA
rnacentral:pre_miRNA from 1 species